GGUAGACGAAAUGCGCGCGUGGCGAACACAGUUUUUAUCCCGGCAUCUAUGAUGAUUUAUUUGGCUUAAAUCUGUAUAUUUUGAUAUUAAGGAUCAUUUCUGAAGAUAAGGCUAUUUACACAAAACACAACACAAACAAAAAGAUUAUGCAACAAGAACCCUUAAUUCAAAUAAUUAAGAAAUAUCUGAAAACUGUUCAAUAUAUUAUAUUUCAGAUUCAUGUCUAACAUCUAAGUGCAUUUGUUAUGUUUUUUUUUUUGGGGGGGGAGGCUAGAUCACAUUUGUUUCUUUUUCUGAAUUCAAGGGGAAAUCUUUAUCAUGUUGCUGGCU
rnacentral:lncRNA from 1 species